GACGAACGCUGGCGGCGUGCCUAAUACAUGCAAGUAGAACGCUGAAGGAGGAGCUUGCUUCUCCGGAUGAGUUGCGAACGGGUGAGUAACGCGUAGGUAACCUGCCUGGUAGCGGGGAUAACUAUUGGAAACGAUAGCUAAUACCGCAUAACAGUAGAUAUUGCAUGAUAUCUGCUUGAAAGGUGCAAUUGCAUCACUACCAGAUGGACCUGCGUUGUAUUAGCUAGUUGGUGAGGUAACGGCUCACCAAGGCGACGAUACAUAGCCGACCUGAGAGGGUGAUCGGCCACACUGGGACUGAGACACGGCCCAGACUCCUACGGGAGGCAGCAGUAGGGAAUCUUCGGCAAUGGACGGAAGUCUGACCGAGCAACGCCGCGUGAGUGAAGAAGGUUUUCGGAUCGUAAAGCUCUGUUGUAAGAGAAGAACGAGUGUGAGAGUGGAAAGUUCACACUGUGACGGUAUCUUACCAGAAAGGGACGGCUAACUACGUG
rnacentral:rRNA from 1 species